rnacentral:rRNA from 1 species
CACCGCGGUUAUACGAGAGACUCAAGUUGAUAGAAGACGGCGUAAAGAGUGGUUAAGUAAUUUAAAACUAAAGUUGAACAUCUUCAAGGCCGUUAUACGCACCCGAAAAAAUGAAGACCUUCCACGAAAGUGACUUUAACAAUCUGAACCCACGAAAGCUGUGGAA